rfam:Vibrio parahaemolyticus RIMD 2210633 DNA, chromosome 1, complete sequence.
CGACCCCUCGGGUCACCUAGCCAACUGACGUUGUUAGUGAACGAUAUGUUCACAAAACAAGCCAAUAGACCCGACUGCCUAUUGGCUUCUUUUUU